GACGAGCCACACAAACGUUAUUCGGAAUUACUGGGCUUAAAGGGUGCGUAGGCGGCGCGGAAAGUUGGGUGUGAAAGCCCUCGGCUCAACCGAGGAAUUGCGCUCAAAACUGCCGUGCUCGAGGGAGAUAGAGGAGUGCGGAACUUAGGGUGGAGCGGUGAAAUGCGUUGAUAUCCUAGGGAACACCGGUGGCGAAAGCGGCACUCUGGAUCUCUUCUGACGCUGAUGCACGAAAGCUAGGGUAGCGAACGGG
rnacentral:misc_RNA from 1 species